rnacentral:tRNA from 1 species
AGGCGGGUAAGUUAAAUUAAACUGAGGGGUUCAUGUCCCCUUAAUAUGCUUUGCAUCCCGCUGA